UUUGGCAAAAGAAAGCCUUACGUCUUCAUCCGCCUCCCAUAGCCUUUUAGGGUUCAUCCUAUUGUUCGAUCUCCGACGACUUCUCUGACUCCAUGAAUGGAGGUCAGAGAGAUUUAGUGGCUCAAACCGAUGUAAUGAUGUGGUUCUCUCUCUCUGCUAUAAUUUUGUCUUUAAAUCGAUCCUCGCCUUCUUCUUCUUCUUCUUCUUUCAGUUUAUCGGCAAAGCAUGAAGGGGGACGAUUCGAUCUUAGAUAUAAUGCCUCCAAGGAAGAAGCAGAAUAAAGGACCCAACAAAAAACGGAAGCUGAAGAACCUUGAGGAAGACAGGGAGAAAGAGCUCCUCUCUGCAAAAACUUCCAAGUUGUUAGACAAGUAUAAAAUAUCUCAGGAUUUGUCUUCGCUUUUCCAAUCUUCAAAAGCCAUAGUCUGAUAAGAAGCUGGAGAAACGCAUGAGACCAAUGCAACUAUCUAAAGCUGGUGUUUUGUCUGAUGAACCAGUCAAGGAAAAUGACAACUCUGAUUCAUGUAUGGACGAGCCUACCACACCUGAAAUCCAUAUCCCGACUCUUCAUACUGAUUCUCACCAACUUAUUCAUCCCAAUGAACUCCCAAAGUAAUGAUAAUCUCUGCUGAAGAGGUCCGUGAAGAAGAAUGGUUUGUGAAUUUUUUAAAAAAAUUCGGCUAUGAUGUGUGUGUUUCGUUUGAUUGGUUAUUAUUUCUAGAAAACCGGUUGCUGUAAGACCACUCAAGUUCCUCAGCCACGUCGUGUUGCUGUCCUCGCCACUGCCGAUAGGGUGGCUCAUGAGCUUGGUGUUCACCUCAGUCAAGAAGUCGGUUUCCAAGUUAGGUGCAACAAAAAGAUUGGUGAGAACUCAGCUAUAAGUUUAUAAACGAUGGGAUAAAUCCGUGAAGUUGAGUGAUUGCAGGCAACAUAGAUUUUAAAAGAUCUUUAAGCUACAGAGGCAUUCUUCAUACACCCACCAGUCAUCCUCUAACUUAUUUGGCUUCCUAAUUCCAUGUAACAUUUAUGUACGUACAUUCGCAUCUGUGAAAACAGAGUAUUUCUUCA